rnacentral:rRNA from 1 species
UAACACGUAUGCAACCUACCUAUCAUUGGGGGAUAGCCUUUGGAAACGGAGAUUAAUACCGCAUAAGACAGUAACAUGGCAUCAUGUAGCUGUUAAAGCUUUGGCGAUGAUAGAUGGGCAUGCGUCCAAUUAGUUAGUUGGUGAGGUAACGGCUCACCAAGACGAUGAUUGGUAGGGGAUCUGAGAGGAUAAUCCCCCACACUGGCACUGAGAUACGGGCCAGACUCCUACGGGAGGCAGCAGUAGGGAAUAUUGGGCAAUGGACGGAAGUCUGACCCAGCCAUGCCGCGUGCAGGAUGAAGGCGUUAUGCGUUGUAAACUGCUUUUUUAUAGGAAGAAGAAGCCCUUGCGAGGGAAAGUGACGGUACUAUAAGAAUAAGCACCGGCUAACUCCGUGCCAGCAGCCGCGGUAAUACGGAGGGUGCGAGCGUUGUCCGGAUUUAUUGGGUUUAAAGGGUGCGUAGGCGGUUUAUUAAGUCAGUGGUGAAAGACGGUCGCUCAACGAUUGCAGUGCCAUUGAUACUGGUAGACUUGAGUUCGUAUGAGGUAGC